UACAGAGGUCCCAAGCGUUGUUCGGAUUCACUGGGCGUAAAGGGUGCGUAGGCGGUCGGGUAAGUCUGAUGUGAAAUCUCACAGCUUAACUGUGAAACUGCAUUGGAUACUAUCCGGCUCGAGGAAUGGAGGGGAGACUGGAAUACUUGGUGUAGCAGUGAAAUGCGUAGAUAUCAAGUGGAACACCAGUGGCGAAGGCGAGUCUCUGGACAUUUCCUGACGCUGAGGCACGAAGGCCAGGGGAGCAAACGGG
rnacentral:rRNA from 1 species